rnacentral:rRNA from 1 species
UACGGAGGGUGCAAGCGUUACUCGGAAUCACUGGGCGUAAAGAGCGCGUAGGCGGGAUAGCAAGUCAGAUGUGAAAUCCUAUGGCUUAACCAUAGAACUGCAUUGAACUGUUAUUCUAGAGUAUGGGAGAGGUAGGUGGAAUUCUUGGUGUAGGGGUAAAAUCCGUAGAGAUCAAGAGGAAUACUCAUUGCGAAGGCGACCUGCUAGAACAUACUGACGCUGAUGCGCGAAAGCGUGGGAGCAAACAGG